AGGGGUGUAGGCCAAUGGUAGACCGUCGCUCUCCAAAAGCGAAUACGGGGGUUCGAUUCCCUCCACCCCUG
rnacentral:tRNA from 1 species